rnacentral:rRNA from 1 species
CACGUAGGGGGCAAGCGUUGUCCGGAUUUAUUGGGCGUAAAGAGCUCGUAGGUGGUUCGGUAAGUCAGGUGUGAAACCUCCAGGCUCAACCUGGAGACGCCACUUGAUACUGCUGUGACUGGAGUCCGGUAGGGGAGCGUGGAAUUCCUGGUGUAGCGGUGAAAUGCGCAGAUAUCAGGAGGAACACCAGCGGCGAAGGCGGCUUUCUGGACAGUAACUGACGCUGAGGCGCGAAAGCUAGGGGAGCAAACAGG